GCAUAAGACGGUGACGUGAAAGCGGGGGCUCUGAGCAAUCAGACCUCGCGCGAUGGGAUGAGCCGACGUCGGAUUAGCUUGUUGGUGGGGUAAAGGCCUACCAAGGCGGCGAUCCGUAGCUGGUCUGAGAGGAUGAUCAGCCACACUGGGACUGAGACACGGCCCAGACUCCUACGGGAGGCAGCAGUGGGGAAUAUUGGACAAUGGGCGCAAGCCUGAUCCAGCAAUGCCGCGUGUGUGAAGAAGGCCUUCGGGUUGUAAAGCACUUUUAUCAGGAACGAAAAGGUGUCGGCGAAUACCCGGCACUGCUGACGGUACCUGAGGAAUAAGCACCGGCUAACUUCGUGCCAGCAGCCGCGGUAAUACGAAGGGUGCAAGCGUUAAUCGGAAUUACUGGGCGUAAAGGGUGUGUAUGUGGCCUGUUAAGUCUGUCGUGAAAGCCCUGGGCUCAACCUGGGAAUGGCGGUGGAUACUGGCGGGCUCGAGUACGUAGAGGUG
rnacentral:rRNA from 1 species